rnacentral:lncRNA from 1 species
GGGAAGUGGACAGGACUCAGGGACCCGGGGCCCCAUGUGGCCUGGCAGCCUUCCUCCGGCUGGGCUGUCCCCCGUCCUGAGAGGUUUUCUACUGGAUCAAGGCCUUUAUGGACUCUAGUGGGACUGUGGCCUGGGCACAUGCCCGCCAGUGUCCUGUCAGCCCCCCGCCACCACAGGGACGCUGGGGCUGACCUGGAGGAGGUGGGACCUCGAAGACUGCAGGGUCAGGCCAACACCACAUGGUGGGACCUUGGGGACGUUCGCGGUGACUUGCCAGUUUGCCCCUGAGCAGCGAGUCCUCAUUAGCCAAGCUCCAUCCAUGGCCAGGCCCUGCUCGGCACAGCCGGUCCCCAGAGGCACCAGCUCGGGCACGGCCACAGACACCAAGACAGUUUUAUUCAAGCACAGCCUCAUCGUUCAAGUCCACCCUGCUGCCAGCGUUCAGAAAAAACCCUCACGAGGACCCAGACGCAGGACGGAGCCUCGUCAGGAGAGCCAGGGGCGGCAGACGCAGACCAGCCCACGCAGCUCUGGGGACCCGCCCUGCGCUGCCCGCCCUAGGCCGACCUCUUCCCGAGGCAGCCACGCUGACCACCUGCCACCCUGACCGGUCCCCUCCCCCAUGCAGGACACUCCCAUCCCGGAGUCUGUCUGCCCCAGAACCUUCCAGAGCACGUGUGCA